UUUCUGAAAUCACUUUCUCUCUCUAAAAAAUUUCAGCGGAUCAUAACUUUUUAUCCAUAACUCUUAUUUAUGAUCCGCGAAAAGCUACGGAUUCGUCUUGAUGCCCUCUUUCUAUCCAUGAAGGUUUGAGUUAGAUUGAACAAUAAUUUCUAAAAGGCACGUUUUAGGAUUUUCGAUUUUCAAUCGGUAUUUUGGGAGGCGAUUCGUAUUGUCAAGAGAAAUACUACGAGUUCGUCGAGUCGGAAAGGCAUUGUACAAGCCUAGAAUGAAGAGUAUAGAAGGAAGAGGUUUAUUUACAUUCUGCUUUGUAAUCUCAUACCUCGAUUUCGGCCUUAGGUGCUUGGGAUUCACCAAUAUCGGAUCCGGUGCGUGACAUAAAUAUGAGAGUCAAAUUAUACUCAUUCUGAAUCAUACUUAAAAGAAAAAAAAAUAAGAGCAUAGAAGGAAGAGGUUUAUCUUCAUUGGGAGCCUAGAAUGAAGAGCAUAGAAGGAGGAGAGAUGACGAGCUUCGAUUAG
rnacentral:lncRNA from 1 species